CUGACCUGCGGUAGUCCCUGACGAAAAGCACCGGAUCCCGCCCGGAUCCGGUGCUUUUCGUCAGGGACUACCCUGCGGCGG
rnacentral:sRNA from 1 species